rnacentral:tRNA from 1 species
CGGGAUGUGGCGCAGUUGGUUAGCGCACUUGGUUUGGGACCAAGGGGUCCCCCGUUCGAGUCGGGGUAUCCCGA